rnacentral:rRNA from 1 species
GACGAACGCUGGCGGCGUGCCUAAUACAUGCAAGUUGAGCGCUGAAGGUUGGUACUUGUACCGACUGGAUGAGCAGCGAACGGGUGAGUAACGCGUGGGGAAUCUUCCUUUGAGCGGGGGACAACAUUUGGAAACGAAUGCUAAUACCGCAUAAAAACUUUAAACACAAGUUUUAAGUUUGAAAGAUGCAAUUGCAUCACUCAAAGAUGAUCCCGCGUUGUAUUAGCUAGUUGGUGAGGUAAAGGCUCACCAAGGCGAUGAUACAUAGCCGACCUGAGAGGGUGAUCGGCCACAUUGGGACUGAGACACGGCCCAAACUCCUACGGGAGGCAGCAGUAGGGAAUCUUAGGCAAUGGACGAAAGUCUGACCGAGCAACGCAGCGUGAGUGAAGAAGGUUUUCGGAUCGUAAAACUCUGUUGGUAGAGAAGAACGUUGGUGAGAGUGGAAAGCUCAUCAAGUGACGGUAACUACCCAGAAAGGGACGGCUAACUACGUG